rnacentral:rRNA from 1 species
UGGGGAAUAUUGGACAAUGGGGGCAACCCUGAUCCAGCGAUGCCGCGUGUGUGAAGAAGGCCUGCGGGUUGUAAAGCACUUUAGUUGGGGAGGAAAGGUAUGUACUGCAUAAGUGCAUGCUGUGACGUUACCCAAAGAAUAAGCACCGGCAAACUCUGUGCCAGCAGCCGCGGUAAUACAGAGGGUGCAAGCGUUAAUCGGACUUACUGGGCGUAAAGGGUGCGUAGGCGGAAGGAUAAGAUAUAUGUGAAAUACCUGGGCUCAACCUGGGAAGGUCAUAUAAGACUGUCAGACUCGAGUAUGGGAGAGGGUAGAGGAAUUUCCGGUGUAGCGGUGAAAUGCGUAGAUAUCGGAAGGAACAUCGGUGGCGAAGGCGUCUACCUGGCCUAAUACUGACACUGAGGCACGAAAGCGUGGGGAGCAAACAGGAUUAGAUACCCAAGUAUUCCCUGAGCGGGCUGGCAAGGCGCAU